UACGAAGGGGGCUAGCGUUGUUCGGAAUCACUGGGCGUAAAGCGCACGUAGGCGGACGUUUAAGUCAGGGGUGAAAUCCCAGGGCUCAACCCUGGAACUGCCCUUGAUACUGGACGUCUCGAGUCCGGGAGAGGUGAGUGGAACUCCGAGUGUAGAGGUGAAAUUCGUAGAUAUUCGGAAGAACACCAGUGGCGAAGGCGGCUCACUGGCCCGGUACUGACGCUGAGGUGCGAAAGCGUGGGGAGCAAACAGG
rnacentral:rRNA from 2 species